UACGGAGGGUGCGAGCGUUGUUCGGAUUUAUUGGGCGUAAAGCGCGUGUAGGCGGUUUUGUAAGUCUGAUGUGAAAGCCCCGGGCUCAACCUGGGAAGUGCAUUGGAUACUGCAAGACUUGAAUACGGGAGAGGGUAGUGGAAUUCCUGGUGUAGGAGUGAAAUCCGUAGAUAUCAGGAGGAACACCGGUGGCGAAGGCGGCUGCCUGGACCGAUAUUGACGCUGAGACGCGAAAGCGUGGGUAGCAAACAGG
rnacentral:rRNA from 1 species